rnacentral:rRNA from 1 species
UACGUAGGGUGCAAGCGUUGUCCGGAAUUAUUGGGCGUAAAGAGCUCGUAGGCGGUCUGUUGCGUCGGCUGUGAAAACCCGGGGCUCAACUCCGGGCCUGCAGCCGAUACGGGCAGACUAGAGUUCGGCAGGGGAGACUGGAAUUCCUGGUGUAGCGGUGAAAUGCGCAGAUAUCAGGAGGAACACCGGUGGCGAAGGCGGGUCUCUGGGGCCGAUACUGACGCUGAGGAGCGAAAGCGUGGGGAGCGAACAGG